AUCUUUUAACCACAUACAUGCAUUCAACAUUUGUAUUCUUUUACAUCUUUUGUAUCAUUUCUUUUUACAUCACAUAUUCCCAAAAUAGACCUCUUUACAUUCUUUCAUUUAAACAUGUAUAAUCAUCAAGUACAAAAGAUGAUAUAUGAAGGGUAUGCAACUACACAAAAUAUAACCAGCACGGGUGGUCACUGUCUAUAGCGCGAUACCUUUACCGCGAUCGUCGGCCGGCUCACUCGGUCCCGGCUCUGU
rnacentral:lncRNA from 1 species